AGCUGAUGUUUGUUUACGUCUGAUCUGCGCAGCCUGUCACCGACACUGUGGCCAAGCACUCGCUGGCAUACACCCCACACCAACACCCCACAAAGACACAGCGAUUUUUAAUUCAUCAAGAACGGAUACGUCCCUGCAAUCAGCUGGUGUUGCUUAAUGACCCUUUCCGACCAUCACUGACACACAUACACAAGUCUGUCUGCUGCUGUUGUUGACGGUCACGAGACAAAUCUAGAUUCUAUCACUGAGGUAACGCCCUCUGAAAAAUAACAUAGACCGUGGCGAGCAGCAAUGAUCAAGGCAAUCCUCGUGUUUAAUAAUCAUGGCAAACCAAGACUGUCCAAAUUCUACCAAUACUUUAAUGAGGAGAUGCAGCAACAGAUAAUAAAAGAAACAUUCCAACUGGUGUCUAAGAGAGAUGACAAUGUCUGCAACUUUUUGGAGGGUGGCAGCCUCAUUGGGGGAGCAGACUACAAGCUGAUCUAUCGCCACUAUGCCACGCUGUACUUUGUCUUCUGUGUAGAUUCUUCAGAGAGUGAGCUGGGAAUCCUUGACUUGAUCCAGGUCUUUGUGGAAACAUUAGACAAGUGCUUUGAGAAUGUGUGUGAACUGGAUCUCAUAUUCCAUGUUGACAAGGUGCACUACAUCCUGAAUGAGCUUGUGAUGGGAGGAAUGGUUCUGGAGACCAACAUGACAGAGAUCAUCACAAGGAUAGAUGACCAAAACAAACUAGAAAAACAGGAGGCUUCCUACUCCCCAGACUUGGCUCCGUGUGACUUUUGGCUAUUCCCAAAGCUCAAAAAUACACUCAAAGGGAGAAGAUUUCAGUCAGCAGAGGACAUCAAGCAAAAUUUGAUGCCACACAUCUACAGCAUCCCAAAAAGUGAUUUCCAGAAAUCUUACCAGUAGUCAUAGGAACACUGACAGGAGUGUGUACACUCCAAUGGCGAAUAUUUUGAAGGAGACUAAAUCUAAAAUGCUGGGUUGGCUGCAGCUCCUGCCCGUGCAGUGUCUGCAGUAAAAAACAUGAACCUCCCACAACAGAUCAAAGACAUCAAGCUUCCUGACCUGCCUGCUGCAAUAAAGGACCUCAAGUUCUGACCUCCUCCACUCUCCUGCUUCUUCCUCCAUCCCACCAUGGGUUCCAAUGCUCUGCUGGAUGUAACAUUUAGCAGUCGUGAAUUGUAACUUACUUCCCCAUAAAUUCCAAUAUUAACAUACUCAUCAUCAUUGUUAUUAUCUUCAUCUCUUCCCUAACACAGCAAGGUAAGGAUUCAGUAAAGGGAAACCAUUGUCAGACAGGAGGAAGGCUGCUGUUUAAAAUUCAUUCAUGUAACAGUCAACUGCUCAGACCCAGUAACAAUAACUCACCAACUGCAAACAGUCACAUUUUAGUGACUAUAUCAUAUUAACAGCAGUAACAUAGUUGUUGAUGAAGUGAUUUGGAUCUUUGGAAUCUCACAAGCUUUUAUUUCCUAUCUACAUAACUGUGGUUAAACUGAUCAUUAAGGUUAUAGUGUUUAUUGUAUAAUUUUAUGGUUCAUUUUGUUAUAUAAAGAAACUCAGUUAAAAGGUAUUAAACCUUCCAGAUUGCUCAAGCAGCCAAAAUCUUUCAGAAGAAAAUUAUUUGAAAAAUUCAUAAGAAUUUCAAUUUGUCCCAUGUCCUUUUUUUUUUUUACCAUAAGUGUGUGCGAGUGUGUUAUCCACUGUCUUUACUAUUGUGACCAGAGAGUUACUUACUUAUUCUUCUUUUGAAAUAUCUGACAUGGUGAAAGAUAAAUCUUAAAUAAGUUGUUUAAGUCAGAAACAGAAAGUAGAUGCAUAUGAUGGUGAGUCAUAAUUUAACCCCUUCAUGCCCAGAUGCACCACCUAAUGAAAAGCAGCAGUUCCAGCCUCACCAUAUGCACGCACUACACAUAUUUCACAUUGUUUGUAAUUUUGUUACAUAAAUAUUUUCAGCAAAA